AUUAAGGUUUAAUCAUUAAGGGCAGAUUAGUAUUUUUCAUUCUUGUCACAGGGGUAAUUCAGACAUUUACUAAAAACAAGGAAAUUACGCGAGUUCGUUAUCUCCAGCAUCCCGAGUAGUAAUGCUCGAAACAUAGAUGAUGUCGAAUUUGAAGAUGCUGAGGUCGAUACCGGACAUGAUGAUGCAGAGCAAUAUCGGAAUCCGACAUCAGACAACAACGUUACCUUAGACGAUCAGACUAAUGAAAGAUUGUAUAUCCCAGAGGUAGCUUCAUCAUGUGUUCCUGUUAUUGGAAUGGAGUUCUCUUCCAUAGAACAAGCAUAUGUUUUUUAUCAGACAUAUGCCAAGAAGGCAGGGUUCUCCGCUCGAAAAGGAGGUGAACAUCAUGUUGGUGGUAUCAUAAAGUCUAAAU